AGAGUUUGAUCCUGGCUCAGGAUGAACGCUGGCGGCGUGCGUAACACAUGCAAGUUGAACGACGGUGCUAUGAAGUGGUAACGCGGAGUGGCGUACGGAGUAGCGGACGGGUGAGUAUAACAUGAGAAGCUGUCCGAUAGCGGGGGAUAACGUUCGGAAACGGACCCUAAUACCCCAUAGGCCUGAGGGUGAAAGCAGAGAUGCGCUAUUGGAGGUGCUCGUGACCUAUCAGCUGGUUGGUGAGGUAAGGGCUCACCAAGGCGACGACGGGUAGCCGGCCUGAGAGGGUGUCCGGCCACACUGGAACUGAGAUACGGUCCAGACUCCUACGGGAGGCAGCAGUGGGGAAUAUUGGGCAAUGGGAGGAAUCCUGACCCAGCGACGCCGCGUGAACGAAGAAGGCCUUCGGGUCGUAAAGUUCUUUUAUGUGGGAAGAAGGAAGUGACGGUACCACAUGAAUAAGCCCCGGCUAACUACGUGCCAGCAGCCGCGGUAAUACGUAGGGGGCGAGCGUUGUCCGGAAUUACUGGGCGUAAAGGGCACGCAGGCUGUGCUUCAAGUCAGCUGUUAAAGGAUGCGGCUUAACCGUGUUAUGCAGUUGAGACUGAGGUACUGGAGUGCCGAAGAGGCAAGUGGAAUUCCCAGUGUAGCGGUGAAAUGCGUAGAUAUUGGGAAGAACAUCAGUGGCGAAGGCGACUUGCUGGACGGUAACUGACGCUGAGGUGCGAAAGCCAGGGGAGCGAACGGGAUUAGAUACCCCGGUAGUCCUGGCUGUAAACGAUGAAUGCUAGGUGUGCGAGCAGAGAUGUUGGUGUGCCGCAGUUAACGCGAUAAGCAUUCCGCCUGGGGAGUACG
rnacentral:rRNA from 1 species